rnacentral:lncRNA from 1 species
ACAGGUAGUGGGUUUAAUGUGUACAUUACAGUGAAUUCUGAAAACUCCACUCAGAUGCUGAUUGACGAACACCCUAGUGUUUUGUUUAGGAUCAGGCAUAAGAGUGGAAGGUUCACAGCACAUGUUCCAGGUUUGUCUGCGAACAGGGGAGGAGAAGGAAAAGGUGGCGAGGACCCAGCAAGAGGAGCAGUCAACAUGCCUUCCAAACCAGAAAUCGUCCCCAUUGUAUUUAUUCAUUGGAAAAUGACUUCUGUUUAAUGAUAAUAAUGAUUUAGUAAGCCAUUUAGAUUAAGAAAAUGUCCAUGAGGUAGAUAGAGGCAAGGAUUGUUAAUCAGUAUAAAAAAAAGAAGUCAAGAUUAGGCAGGUUAAGGUCAUCCAUCUGGUUGGUAGAACUCAGGUCCCUUCACCUCCAGUCAGUGGCGCUCCCUUCACAGUGUUGUGUACCCAGAACCAUGUGUAUUUAGUCAUAUCAGAUUUUGAUUUUUUCUCAUACUGCUGUAACCUUAUAUAUAAAUUACGUCUAUAGAAUUACCAGAUGUUUCGUUUCAGUAUUUGAUAGCAGGAUGUUUAUAAAGAAGUCUGCCAUAUUGAAGGAGUGACAGUUACUGCUGGUGGCCAAUACCAGAGCAUUUCUCCUCUCUUCUUUGUAGGCAAAUUUUAUUUACCUUCUUUUGAGAAUCAUGUUCUUCAGCAGUGACUGGACCCUUUCCCAGCCUUAGGCCAUCAAAUUCUUAUUGGUAAGCUAAUCAAGAUGGUACUACUUGCAAGUAAUUGGCAAGUUUAGGUAAAGGCAUGUGAUGAAAUUGCGGCCAGUGAGUUGUGAAGGAAAGUUACCUCACUUUAUAAAAAGAAGUGCUUUAUAGAGAUAGUCUCUUUUCUGUCUCUGGACUUUAUCUACACAGGUGAUGCCUAGAAUUGUAGUAGCACCUAAACCAUGAGGGGAAGACAUUUGACAAAGUGGGGGCAAUAGGGAAGAAAAAUAGAAAAAACUUGGGUGCUUGUUAAAGGCAAUGAAGCACUGAAUCAAAUGCUCUUUGGAUUUUUAGCUGGGGUUUCUUUUGUUGGCAGCCAUAAGCAUCCUAAUGGAUAUAGAGAGACUGGAGGUAGCUCUGUCAUAAUCUGGCAUCAAAUUAGCAGGGUUAGAAUUGCAGCUGUAUCACCAGCUAGCUUUGUGACCUUGGGCAAGUCACUUUCUCUUCAAAAACCUAAUUCCAUGUAAAAAUGGAGGUAAUAAAAUAUUUCUGAAAUGUUUCACAAGCUCUAAUGCAAACUGAAAACACUUGAAACUUGUUGCUAUUACUACUCUUGUCUUUAUUAAUAUUACGUUAUAUAAUAACAGCAUCAUAAUCAGACUCUAUCAUGAUGAAUCUAUGAGAAUGCUUUAAAUUCUUCCAAUGUUUUUAGGAAAAUCACUGCAUCCUGAGAUAUUUGUACCUCCCCUCUCUCCCCUUUCUCCUGAGGGGAAGAAGCCAGGUUGGUUACACUUUGGGGUGGGGGGCAUUCCUCAGUGGAGUCAGAGGAUAAACAAAUGGUGGCUUGUCAGACUAAUAUUCCUUGAACAUAUUUCCAGCAAUUUCAGUGCAUAUGUGGGGCUACAACACACACCAGGUAAUUUUUCUCUUCACUUUCCUUCACAUUAGGGGUGGAAAGCUCCACAAAUUUAAAGUGAAAAGCCAUGUCUCUUAUGCAGUGAAGAGAAAUAAACCUGGGAGUCUGACUGUAUUGUGUCAUGAGAAUACUAGUGCCCCCAAGUAGAAGUUUGCCUCCUUCCAUUCCAUUGUUUCCUUCCUCUCCCUAAUACUCUGCCCCUAACAAGACCAUUUUUUGAUUAAUAUACUUACUUAUUUAUUUUUAGUUUGUUUGCUGUACAAUAUUCCAAAAGUUAGAGGUUUAAAAUUCACAAUUUUUAAAACUUGUAUUCCAUUUAUAGUUAUUACAAAAUAUUGGCUAUGUUUCCAGUAUUGUACAGUAUAUCCUUGUAGCUUAUGUUAUUCCUAAUAGUUUGUGCUUCUUAACCCUCUGCCUCAUUUUUCCCCCUCCCCUCCCAAAUGGUAACCAUGAGUUUGUUCUCUAUAUAUAUGUCUUCUUUUUUUUGUUGUUAUAUUCACUCAUUGCAUUUUUUAGAUUCCACAUAUAAGUGAUAUCAUACAGUAUUUGUCUUUCUCUGUCUGACUAAUUUCACUUUGCACAAUGUCCUCCAAGUCCAUCCAUGUUUCUAUGAAUGGCAAAAUUUCAUUUUUUUUUAAUGGCUGAGUAAUAUUCUUUCUCUCUCUCUUUACACACACACACACACACCACACACACACACACACACACACACACACACGCCACAUCUUAUCUUUAUCCAUUCAUCUGUUUGAUAGGCACUUAGGUUGCUUCCAUAUCUUGAUAGCUGUAAAUGAUGCUGCUAUGAACAUGGAGUGCAUGUAUCUUUCUGAAUUAGUAUUUUUUUUUUUUUGGAUGUAUACCCAGGAGUAGAAUUGCUGGGUUAUAUGAUAAUUCUAUUUUUAAUUUUUUGAGAAACUUCCAGAGUGUUUUCCUCAGUGGCUGCCUAAUUUGCAUUCCCACCAACAGUGUACAAAAGUUCCCUUUUCUCCAUAUCCUCACCAACAUUUGUUAUUUGUGUUCUUUUUGAUGAUAGCCAUUCUGACAGGUGUGAGGUGAUAUCUUAUUUUGGUUCUUAUUUGCAUUUCCCUGAUGAUUAGCAGUGUUGAACAUCUUUUCAUGUGCCUUUUGGCCAUCUUCAUUUUCUCUUUAGAAAAAUGUCUACUCAGUUCGUCUGCCCAUUUUUUAAAUUGGGUUGUUUUUUUUUUGUUGUUGAGUUGUAUGAAUUAUUUAUGUGUAUAGACUGUUAAUCCCUUAUCAGUCAUACCAUUUGCAAAUAUUUUUCUCCCAUUCAGUAGGUUUUCUUUUUGUUUGUUGAUGGUUUCCUUUGCUGUGCAAAAGCUUUUAAGUUUAAUUAGGUCCUAUUUAUUUUUGCUUUUAUUUACUUUAGGAAAUGGAUAAAAAAAAAUUGCUGUGACUUUUGUCAAAGGGUGUUUUGCCUAUGUUUUCCUCAAAGAGUUUUAUAGUAUCUGGUCUUACAUUUAGAUUUUUAAUCUAUUUUGAGUUUAUUUUUGUAUAUUGUGUUAGAGAUUGUCCUAAUUUCAUUCUUUUAUGUGUAGCUGUCCGAUUUUCCUAGCACCACCUAUUGAAGAGAGUCUCUUUUAUCCAUUGUAUAUUCUUGCCAACUUUGUUGUAGAUUAAUUGACCAUAAGUACAUGGACUUACUUCUGAGCUUUUCAUCCUGUUCCAUUGAUCUAUAUGUCUGGUUUUGUGCCAUGUCAUACUGUUUAGAUUAUUUUAGCUUUGUAUUAUAGUCUGAAAUCAGGGAACCUGAUUCCCUCUAGCUCCAUUUUUCUCUCUCAAGAUUGUUUUGGCUACUCAGGGUCUUUUCUUAUUCUGUACAGGUUUUAAAAUUAUUUGUUCUGUGAAAAAUUCCAUCAAUAUUUUAAUAGGGAGCUCAUUAAAUUUGUAGAUUGCCUCAGGUAGUACAGUAAUUUUAACAAUAUUGAUUCUUUCAAUUCAAGAACAUAGUGUAUCUUUCCAUCUGUUAGUGUCAUCUUCAGUUUCUUUCAUUGGUGUCUUAUAGUUUUCUGAGUAAAGGUUUUUUACCUCCUUAAAUAGUUUAUUACUAGUUAUUUUAUUCUUUUUGCUGUGAUUAUAAAUGGGAUUUUUUUUAGUUUCUCUUUCUCAUACUUUGUUGUUAGUGUAUAGAAACAGAUUUAUGUAUACUAAUUUUAUGUCCUGCAGCUUUACCAAAUUCAUUGAUGCACUCUAUAGCUUUCUGGUGGCAUCUUUAGGAUUUUCUAUGUGUAGUAUCAUGUCAUCUGCAAACAGUGACAAUUUUAUUUCUUCCUUUAUAAUUUGUAUUUCUUUUUCUUUUCUGAUUGCUAUGGCUAAGGCCUUCCAAACUAUGUUGAAUUAAAGUGGUGAAAGUGGGCCUCCUUGACUUGUUCCUGAUCUUAGAGGAAGUGCUUUCAGUUUUCACCAUUGACUAUGAUGUUAGCUAUAGGUUUGUCAUACAUGAACUUUAUUAUGUUGAAUUAUUUUGCCUCUAUGCUCACUUUCUGGAGAAUUUUAUUUUAUUAAAAAAAAUUUUUUUAAGGAUGCACCCUCAGCACAUGGAGGUUCCAAGACUAGAAGUCAAAUCAGAGCUGUAGCUGACAGCCUAUACCACAGCCACAGCAAUGAGGGAUCCGAGCUGCAUCUGUGACCUACACCACAGCUCAUGGCAAUGGCGUAUCUUCAACCCACUGAGCAAGGCCAGGGAUGGAACCCAUAACCUCAUGGAUCCUAGUUGGAUUUGUUACUACUGAGCCUUGAGAGGAACUCCCUGGAUUUUUUUUUUUUCUUUUACCAUACAUGGAUGUUGAAUUUUAUCAAAAGCUUUCCUGUAUCUAUUGAGAUGAUCAUAUGGUUUAUUCUUCAGUUUGUUAAUGUGGUAUAUCACCCUGAUUUGUGGAUAUUGAAAAAUCCUUGCAUACAAGGGAUCAGUCCCAUUUGAUCAUGGUAUGAUUCUUUAAUGUAUUGCUGGAUUUGGUUUGCUAUAUUUUGUUAAAUAUUUUGGUAUCUAUGCUCAUCAAUGAUAUUGACUUGUAAUUUUCCUUUUUUUGGGGGAUAUCUUUGUCUAAUUUUUGUAUCAGGGUGAUGGUGGCCUCAUAAAAUGAGUAGGGAAGGGUUCCUUCCUCUGCAAUUUUUUGGAAUACUUUCAGAGGGAUAGGUGUUAACUCUUCUCUAAAUAUUUGGUAGAAUUCACCUCUGAAGCCGUCUGGUCCUGGAUUUUUGUUUCUUGGGAGUUUCAAAAUUACUGAUUCAAUUUCAGUACUGGUAAUUGAUCUGUUCAUAUUUUCUAUUUCUUCCUGGUUCAGUCUUGGGAAAUUGUACCUUUCUAAGAAUUUGUCAUUUUUUUCUAGGUUGUCCAGUUUAUCAACAUACUACAAGACUACUUUUUAAGCAGUCCUUAAACAGUACUAGACUUGUUUUGUUUAUAACUCUAGCCAUUUUAUUCUCCUUUUUGUUGCAAGGGUAAGGGCCAGAGUAGCUCUGCAUUUUGUGUGUAUUUAUGUUAGAGAUGUCCUUUUGUUUCUGAUUGAAAAUAAGAAUGUUGUGAUUCUGAUGAGUAUGCCACCUGGGAAGGCAUUUUCAGAAAUUUUUGCUGUCAAAACUCUGGAGAGGAUAGGAACUGGGCUCAGCCAUUGUAAUGAGGAGGAGGAACCCAUGGGAUGGUUGGUUGGCUCAGUUCCAGCCCAGAACUCACUAUUUUUUAUGGAAGGUCAAGAAAUUAGGAGCUGGGCCUAUGGACAUCUGCUUGAACUAAUAUUUCCAAAUUGGUCUUUCUCCUCUGGAGGUUUAGUUUCAAAUUUAAUUAGCUAGCUAAUGAUGGUGAAUUACCAUAAUUAAUUGAUGAAUGCUAAAGUGCUUUGACUAAAAAGUACUAUGUGUAAUUUUGAGGGCAGUUAAUUUCUGAUCUAACUUUGAGAACUAAUCUAGAAGAAAGACUUUUAUAAUAAUAAUAACAACAAUGAUAGUAAUAAUUUUUUUCAUGGUUUGUGCUGAAGUUGUUGGUUUGGAACACCACCUUAGUGGAGCAUCUCAUAUAGUCUCUCAUUUCCUGCUUAGUUAAAAGAAGUCUUUUUUUGCCAGAGGCAUUCCUGGAGGAAGAAGCCCUUGUGAGAGACCUGUAAGUGUGUCUUAAAAUCCAGUGGGUAAGAACAGAAAAGUAAAUAAGCAGCUGUUGUCCAGAAAGAUAAGUGCUGUGAUGGGGAGAUAUUCAGCAAACUAUGGGAUCAUAGGAUGGGGUCUUGGAAACGUCCUGGGGAAGGUGAGAGCUCUUGGUCAAGGAUGAAAGAUAAAUUGAAUGCAUGCAUUUUAUAUUUCCCUGCCAAAACUCUAUUAAAGAGAUGAUAAUAGGUUUUUAUAAAUAUAUAAACAUAACAACAAACAUAAGGGGAGAAACACAAUAGUAAAAAUCAUUUUAGAAGCUAGGCAGUAGAUGGAAGAGUAGCCAUUAAUUUAGCAUCCUGGAGAAAGUGCAAUUCUAAUGUUAAGUAAGCAGUGGGGAAAUCUAAAUAGGAAGCUGAUUUGAACCAGAGAUUGCCACUCGAAGUCUUGGGAAUCAAAGGUAAUGGACAUUCUGGAAGUAGAAGUAAAGGAAGAUAUGAAACCAGGAGAAGUGGUUCAAAUUAUUAUAAAGAAAGAAUUGGAUCCCCAAAUCAUUUCCCCAUCUGUAUAAGAAAAUGACUUCCUACUUCCACUCUGAUGGAAGACUAGAGAGUUAUUCUCUUGAGGGGGUAAAAUAGAAACCAUAGAGUGUUGAGUUUGGAAGUAAAUUGAAAAUAUGGUGACUUAGUGGAAGUUUACAUACUGAGAUUUAGACACCCUCAGUCUUCAACUCUUUCUAGGCUGUCAGAAUUUUGACAGCCACAUCUUUAUCCUUUAAGAAAGAGAUGAAAGCCUUCUCUGGAAAUAUGACCAACUCAAGAAAAAUGAUCUAAAGGUACUGACAUAAGGGAUCCCACAGGGAGCCCAGUGAGAUAUCAACAGUGAAGUCCGUCUGCAGGCAUUUUCUUUAAGGAAGUAAAAUUGACAAGAAGCCUAAUACACCAAGGAUGUUUACAUAGCUGGAGGAGAGUUUGGAGCUGCAUUACCAAUGAGUACAUGAAAAAAAUAAGGGUGUGUUUAUAGAAAGAUAAGCAAACAAACAAACACAAGGCAACAAUUAACUCCAGGGAAAAAACAAAGUUGUCCAGGAAUAGAAAAGUCAUUAUAGUAUAUUACAUGGCUCAGUUAUAAAAUGUGUUUACAUGGUUGUAAUCAUCUAAAUACAGAAUAUUUAUCCUAUGAAAAUUCUAAACUGUAAGUAGGAUGAAGGGAUGUAAAGUGUAUGUUGGGAACAGGGCUGUGUGUGUGAGAAAUCACACUAUCAAUCAUUAUCUUCCGCAGUAGAUAAUCAAUAGGUAAUUAAUAGAUUAUGUCUAAAAAUAUAAAAAUCAGGAAGUAAUAUAGUGAUCAUUUUCAUCAAACUAGCAAACACAGGAGAAGAAGAAUUAAGAAGGCAAUAGAUUUAUUACCGAAGUGUGGCUUUUGAGGUAUCUGUGAAACAGCCAAAUGGAGCUAUCUUCUAAGCAGUUAGCUUUAUGGGCCAAAUGCCAUCCAGCUCCAAUAAAGGUUUUUGGAGAGAAUUAAGCCCUAUAAGAAAUGAUUCUAAUGACUAUUUUCCCAAUUCUCCCCCCGGAUGAUUGCUAGCUACAUAGAAGUUAAUUAAUUACAUACAAUGGAUGCACUAGGGCUUAAAUGCCCUUAGUGCCAACUGAGAAGGACUAGGUCAGCAGGGUUACAAGUGGAGAAUUGGGGUCUUUUCCAGAGGAGUAGAUUAAAUAGGAAAAGGGCCAAGGAUAACUGCUUGAGGGCAUUAACAGUUUAGGCAUGGACAGGGAAAGAGAUAAAUGCAAAGAGAUUAAGAAAGG